GACGAACGCUGGCGGCGUGCUUAACACAUGCAAGUCGAGCGGUAAGGCCCUUUCGGGGUACACGAGCGGCGAACGGGUGAGUAACACGUGGGUGACCUGCCCUCAGCUCUGGGAUAAGCCUGGGAAACCGGGUCUAAUACCGGAUAUGACUCCAUGACGCAUGUUGUGGGGUGAAAGCCUUGUGCGGCUGAGGAUGGGCCCGCGGCCUAUCAGCUUGUUGGUGGGGUGANGGCCUACCAAGGCGACGACGGGUAGCCGGCCUGAGAGGGCGACCGGCCACACUGGGACUGAGACACGGCCCAGACUCCUACGGGAGGCAGCAGUGGGGAAUCUUGCGCAAUGGGCGAAAGCCCUGACGCAGCGACGCCGCGUGAGG
rnacentral:rRNA from 1 species